rnacentral:rRNA from 1 species
UACGGGGGGGGCAAGCGUUGUUCGGAAUUACUGGGCGUAAAGGGCUUGUAGGCGGCCAACUAAGUCCGACGUGAAAUCCCCAGGCUUAACCUGGGAACUGCGUCGGAUACUGGAUGGCUUGAAUUCGGGAGAGGGAUGCAGAAUUCCAGGUGUAGCGGUGAAAUGCGUAGAUAUCUGGAGGAAUACCGGUGGCGAAGGCGGCAUCCUGGACCGGCAUUGACGCUGAGGAGCGAAAGCCAGGGGAGCAAACGGG